UAAUGGCUCUUAAUCAUUAUGUGUUUAACGCUGCCAACCACGCAAUAAGGCGCUAACAGUCCAUCUAUCGCUAACCCUACCCCGCAGUCAAAAGAAUAAAAGAAAAAACCGCUGCCCGCACGACCUCUCACCCCCUGCUCCUCGACCUCUCGCUCCCUGCUCCUCCUACCGCACCGUUCGCCGCCCCACAACCGCUCGCCGCUUCGCCGCCUUCCGCAGCCGCGCCCCUUCGCCGUCGCCCACCUACUGCCCUUCUCUCCCUGCACUUUUCCACCCUCACGCAGCCGCCGCCAGCGCCUUGUGCCCCAACGCCGCUAUCGCCAUCACCUCCUCCCCAUGGUCCGCGAGCUAGACGCGCUGCCGGGAAGAAUCCACCAUCUACGGCCUUGCGGCGCUCGCCGGGGACACCGCCGCCGCCGCCUCUAUCCUUUUCGGAUGCCUCUGUCUCCUCUCUACAGCGGCCUCCUCAUCUCUUCACGGCUGCUCCAGAGGUCGCCCCCUCGAGCAUCGCGUCCUCUUCUCCACCACCACCUCGCCGCCGCCUCCUCCCUUCGGUUCUCUCCUCGAAGCUCCAUCAAGUGGUCACUGCCGCCUGCUGCCUCUUCUCUCCUGCAGGACGACGCCUCCCCAUCCACCAUCUGCCGCCGCUGAACUGGGUGGCAGUUGCGGCCAUGGGGGAGUAGGGGUGGCAUGGUCUUCAUGGUCGUUAUGUACAAGAAGACGAGGACGGCAGUGGGGGGAACGAGCAGCGAGGCCGGAGCUUCACUAUGGAUUUGAGGAUGCAACUCGCUGGCCACCAUCACCGUCCGCAAUCUGGGCUGCCCAUUUGCGUCUCGCCAUCUUCCUUCCCAAUACUUAACUUAGUUCUUUGACAGUCUAAUUUCAAUUUUGUCAAUUUAUGGCUUUUCUAGGCAAUGAUGUGAGACAGAAAAGAAGAGGAAGACGUUGGUGAAGGAGAGGGCAGCACAAAUGUACACCGCUGUGGCCAGGUUAUUUCAUACGACACAGCCACAGGUGAUGUACAUGAAUGACGGCAGAUGGUUGAGGAUUGAGGGAAUGUAGAUG